GCAACCUCUAAAAAAUGCUAGUAUACCUUGAAGUAGAGGGGUAAUCCACACUCUACUAAGAAAGAACUAGCUCUGAUAUCUCAAGUUAGUACAGUCUCGACAAACUGUCACGGACACAAAAUACAGACUUGAAAUCUAACAAGAAGUUGAACAAGAAGUGGCAGAACUAGAUUAAACAGAUGAGUACAAGAACAACACCAGAAAGGUGAGCUAGAACUCCAAG
rnacentral:lncRNA from 1 species